UACGUAGGGUCCGAGCGUUAAUCGGAAUUACUGGGCGUAAAGCGUGCGCAGGCGGUUUUGUAAGCCAGAUGUGAAAGCCCCGGGCUUAACCUGGGAAUGGCAUUUGGGACUGCAAGGCUGGAGUACGGCAGAGGGAGGUGGAAUUCCACGUGUAGCAGUGAAAUGCGUAGAGAUGUGGAGGAACACCGAUGGCGAAGGCAGCCUCCUGGGCUAGUACUGACGCUCAUGCACGAAAGCGUGGGGAGCAAACAGG
rnacentral:rRNA from 1 species